CUUGGUUUCCCCAUCUGUCUAGAGGAUUUGGCCAAGGCGACCUUUGCGAUCCCUUCCUGCCCUGACACUCUGGGAUUUGGUGACUCCCUGCUGGGUCCCGAGAGGCCCUGGGAAGGAGACAGGAAUUUCAUUUGUUUCCUUGUUUUUCUUCCUCAAAGGGAAGGGGAAGGGACAUAGCUAAAGGCAGCCAAGAGUGAGGGCUGAAUUCUGCCCUCUGGGAGCCACCCCUCCCAGCUUUCAGCUAGAGGUGUUCAGAGGAGGGUGAGGGGAGGGAGCUGUGCUGAUGGGCAAAGCGCAGGGGGGAGGGAUACAGGGGGAGAGGGCUGUGACAUGCAUGGGGGGGUGGCGGGAGGAGAAGGCUCUCUGCUUGUUCUAAGGGAGAGAGCCUUGAGACCUUUCCUGCCUCUGCCCCUCCCUGGGUAGGUUCGUUGUGUAGCUUUCGCCAAAUUCAUUCCCCUCUCUGAGAUUUGGCUUCCAUGGCAUUGGAAAAAUGAAAGUGGCACAUAUCGAGGGCAACGGCCCAGCUUGAAUACAAGACCCAGAAUGUCAGACCUAAGGAAGAGUAUAAGGGGACUGGUCCCAGGGGCUGGCAAGGAAUUUGGGAAAUUCAUUAAAAUCCAUCCCCUCCCACCUAAUUUUACAGAAAGGAAAAUGAGAUUAGGAACAGGAAGUCACUUGCCCAGUGUUGCAGAGCAAAUAAGGGAAGAAGGUCACGUGGGAACCAGAGCUCCUGGGGCCUGUAAAUUAUCACACUGUAUUAACUCCCCUCCACCCCAGCCUGGAGUCUGUGAUAACUUCUAAGAGUGGGGAGCUGGCAGGGAGGGACGGAGGGAGGAACGGAGGGAGGGAGGAGGAGGAGGAGGAGGAGGAGGAGGAGGCAUCCUCCUACAUCUCCCCCAUCACCCCUGCCCUUUCUGCUCUCUGGGAUGCCUUCAGUAUCUGGUGGACUGCCCAUGGGCAACAUAGGUCAGGCUGCCUCUCCUGGGCUCUACUCAGCAGACCUGCGAGUGUUGAGGGGUGGAGGUGGGGUUCAGACCCAGGACUCCCAGCGUGACUGUGGGCUGCGGUGGCACAAGGAUGGUGAUUGCGUACCACCAAUUCCCUCAGCUGAUGGCAUGCUCUGGAUACCAAGCCCUUCAUCGUCCUGGUUUCCCACACUGGAAAUUUUCUGGCCAUUAAUGUCCUUCUUAAACCAUGGUGCCCAGAACUGAACACAGGCCUCCUCAUCAAGUAUGUGGGACAACCACCUCCUUAUUCUUGGAAGCUACUGCCCCACUUUACAUGGUUCAAAAUCAGCUUUUUGGGGCACCCCAUUACAUGGCUGACUCAUACUCAGCUUGUGGUCUGCUAACACCCUCAGCUCUUUUCUGACACACUCCUGCUUCACUAUGUCUUUUCCAUCGUAUACCCUUUCUGGGUUUCACUGUCAUAUUCUGUAAAUGAAGCAACUGGAUGCAAAGUGGUCAAGCAGAUAACUUGCCAGCACUGUAGUCUAUGAGUAUAUGAUCAAAAAUUAUGUUUCCUUUAAAAAUAAAAACAGCAUUUGGUAAACUUUUCUAAAU
ensembl:lncRNA